rnacentral:rRNA from 1 species
AGUUGCUAAGACUGGAUAGGAAAUUAAAAGGCAUCUUUUAAUUUUUAAAAGACCUUUUUCGGAAGGUAUGCUUAAAGAGGGGCUUGCGCCACAUUAGUUAGUUGGUAAGGUAAAGGCUUACCAAGACGAUGAUGUGUAGCUGGACUGAGAGGUCGAACAGCCACAUUGGGACUGAGACACGGCCCAAACUCCUACGGGAGGCAGCAGUAAGGAAUUUUUGGCAAUGGAGGAAACUCUGACCGAGCGACGCCGCGUGAACAAUGAAGUACUUCGGUAUGUAAAGUUCUUUUAUUGAAAAAGAAAAAAUAGUGGAAAAACUAUCUUGACAUUAUUCAAUGAAUAAGCCCCGGCUAAUUAUGUGCCAGCAGCCGCGGUAAUACAUAAGGGGCGAGCGUUAUCCGGAAUUAUUGGGCGUAAAGGGUGCGUAGGCGGUUUGAUAAGUCUAUAGUUUAAUUGCAGUGCUUAACGCUGUACCGCUAUAGAAACUGUCUGACUAGAGUUAGAUAGAGGCAAGCGGAAUUCCAUGUGUAGCGGUAAAAUGCGUAAAUAUAUGGAGGAACACCAGAGGCGUAGGCGGCUUGCUGGGUCUUAACUGACGCUGAGGCACGAAAGCGUGGGGAGCAAACAGGAUUAGAUAUCCCGGUUAGUUCACGCCGUAAACGAUGAGUACUAAGUGUCGGGUUUUGGCUCGGUACUGAAGUUAACACAUUAAGUACUCCGCCUGAGUAGUACGUACGCAAGUAUGAAACUUAAAGGAAUUGACGGGACCCCGCACAAGCGUGGAUCAUGUUGUUUAAUUCGAAGAUACACGAAAAACCUUACCAGGUCUUGACAUAAUUUUGCGACAUUAUAGAAAUAUAAUGAAGGUUAUCAGAAUUACAGGUGGUGCAUGGUUGUCGUCAGCUCGUGUCGUGAGAUGUUAGGUUAAGUCCUAAAACGAGCGCAACCCUUGUCGUUAGUUGCGACCACAUAAUGGUGAGCACUUUAGCGAGACUGCCAAUGAAAAAUUGGAGGAAGGUGAGGAUUACGUCAAAUCAUCAUGCCCCUUAUGAUCUGGGCUACAAACGUGAUACAAUGGCUGUUACAAAGAGUAGCUACAACGUGAGUUUUUAGCCAAUCUCAAAAAAACAGUCUCAGUUCGGAUUGAAGUCUGCAACUCGACUUCAUGAAGUUGGAAUCGCUAGUAAUCGCGAAUCAGCAUGUCGCGGUGAAUACGUUCUCGGGGUUUGUACACACCGCCCGUCAAACCACGAAAGUUGAUAAUACCCAAA